UACAGAGGUCCCAAGCGUUGUUCGGAUUCACUGGGCGUAAAGGGUGCGUAGGCGGUUUGAUAAGUCUGAUGUGAAAUCCCGCAGCUUAACUGCGGAACUGCAUUGGAAACUGUUUGACUAGAGGAAUGGAGGGGAGACUGGAAUACUUGGUGUAGCAGUGAAAUGCGUAGAUAUCAAGUGGAACACCAGUGGCGAAGGCGAGUCUCUGGACAUUUCCUGACGCUGAGGCACGAAAGCCAGGGGAGCAAACGGG
rnacentral:rRNA from 1 species